rnacentral:lncRNA from 1 species
UAGUGAUGUCACUCAAUUGAGAUUCCAGCAGGAUUUUCCCUAGAAAAGUUCUUCACAGUCCCAGCUCGGUGAAGGACCCCGUGAAGAGCACAAAUGUCUCAACUUCCAGCUGACAUGUGCAGAUGUGUCACUGGAAUAACGCCCGGAGACUUUAUUAUGGUGAAGAAAACCAAGUCAGUGGUUCAGAGGUUUCUCACACUGACUCUCGGAUCCAGUCAGAUCAGUCAGUGUGGAUUUGCCAGACCACCAGGAGAUUGUCCUCUUCCCUUUCUCUUCAAAUCAUGGUCACCUACUGGAUCCCUCUCCAUGCUGAACUGUUGAGCCUUCUGCCUCAGGAGAAAUGAGGCACACAAAAAUGAGAGGAAAAAGCAGAUGAGCUGCCAGAGCAGCGCUGUACUCCACCCAUAUGCCUCAAUUAUCUCUCCCAGGCCUCUGCAACACCACACGCCACAUCAGGAGCAGCAGAGGGACUACCAAUGAGUAAUUAAACCUCUUAUUGCUUUGCAUGGCUGAGUAGUUUUCAUAACAGCACUGCACAAAACUUGAGAUUCGCAGAUUUUUAUAUAAGCUCCUCAACAUUUCUACUUGCCUCUCUCUCCUUUUUUAAUUUCAACCGUUAGAAUAAACUUUAUUGUGAACUGCUGGGAAUAAGAGGA